GUUUGUGACUUUGUUUCAAACCAUUAUAUUAAAUAUUAAUUCGUAAUCAAAGACAACAAAAUAGAUCCUACCUGCAUUUCAUGCAUAACUGUCGAUUUCGAGUUCGACCUACCAGAUCUUCCAGAAGCCAUCAACACAAAGCACCUAAUGGCCGACCGUCAUGUAAAUGUACGAUCUAAGCGACGCUGGCUGAAGGCAAUAUAAAUGGACUUUUUCCUCCUUCUCUUCAAAUAUAUAGGUUUUAGAUUUUUUAAGCUUAGGGAAUCAUUCCCUAUUUGUGUGUCAUUCUCCGAAUUAGAUAUACCAAUGUAUGCAGAAUCAUACAUUUUUUAUGCGUGACCACAUACUGCCAUAUUGUGUUGUUUAUUUAGUCAACAAACCGUAAUAAAGACGGUUAGUAUAAUUAUUCUAAGUUGAUAUGGAAGUUUAGAAAUUUUGAAUGGUAAAGUUAUCGACAACUGAUUUUAAACUAGUAUGUUUUUGACUUUAUUUCCUUAUUUCCAGUAUUAAUGAUCAAUUGCAUAGCUCUUUUGUAAUUAUUCAUAUGAUUGCCUAUAAAGAAUGAAACGAAUGAAUCGUAUACUCUUUCAAAGGGAUAGAUGCUGACACUUUUCUUCACUAUAUUCUUGAUAACAUCCGACACCAUGCUUUCAAGCUCAUAAGCUUCUGACGCGAUUAGUUUGUCAUCCACAAUUCAAAAGCAGUCGAUAUUAUCAAUAAAUAAUAUGCAAAAUUGACGGGAAUUUUUAUUCAACGAUGCAGAAUGGAGCCCAUAUCAAUUCGUUUAUUGCAAAAAAAGAUAUAUAUUAAAAGAGUGGUAAUUUGAUGAGUAUUUCUGCAUUAAAUUAAGACACUUUACGAUCAUAUUGCGAAUACUUGCCGAAUUAUUCUAUUCAACAGUUUUAGUCAAAUAAAAAGCAUGUAUGGACUUGUUCGCUAAGGGAAUUUUCACAAGACAACGCAGCUAGAUUUUUCCUUGAACGGAUUUUGUUUCUUGUCAAUUCCGAUUAGAAAUGGAUCAUAUUCUUGUGACUCCCGAAUGUAUUUUACAAGUUCUUCACUUGUUUUCGAUACCGGAUAUCUAUCGACUUGACUUUCAAUCUUCAGCUGCUCUACUAAUUUCUUUUGAGCUUCGAUCACUUCAUUCGACAUGAUUCUGAAAUUCAAGAAAUAGAAUGCGUGCCACUUUUUAUGCUAAUCAAAAUCUACCUGUAUGCUAUUGGGUUUUAUACUUAGUAGCUGCUUGAAUAUUCGUCCAACUCUAAAUAGUUGUAAAGAAUUUACUAAUAGUUAAAAAAUAUCUUCCUAUAUUAUUAUUUAUUCAGCUGAAGCAAAAUUUUUUUCCAACUUAUUCAAGGUUUCGUGGAAUAUCACUCGUCUUUCACAAAUGUCAGCUACAAAUAAAUUAUUCUUUAUAUUAGAUGUUUACCGUUCAGUAGGUAUUAUUUGUGCCAAAACAAAUUAGAGAGCUUGUCGCAAAAAAUCAACCUGGUUAAUAUGAAAGCCAAUAUCGGCCUACUUUUUUAAAAAUCUGUUACGCCAUCUAUUGACAGAGUAUGUAUGCUUAAGUAAAAUUGUUUUUCUUUAAUUUCAGACAAGCUUAUAGCCUUAUUGCGGAAAAUUACCAAUUUUAUAACAGUAUCGAAUCAGGACGAAAAUUGAACGAUACUGUUCAAUACAGGAAACUGAAAGAGAACGAGGUAGUUGAGGAAAGCCUUUCACGAAAGGGAGACGAUGGUUGGGUUAUCGAAAAUUUGUGUUCUUAAAAAUUUUUAAGUUUGCUUAGUGUGUUUUUUGGUUAAGGCUAUUAUCUAUCUAUGUUCGUUUAAAUUUUCCGAAACAAAUAAAAGCUAACAUGCACAGCUGUUGAAUAAUAGACGCAAAACACAAUCUAUCAAAAAUUGGCCCGCAGUUACAGUGAAUGAUUCUAAGAGCGAAAAAUUGUAUAAAAGAUCCUUUUAUGAACAUGUCUGAUACCUGCAAUAGAACACUCUCCGAUCUUAUUGAGAAGAAUGAUGGACUACAGCAACAGAAAUUCGACAUGGUUAGAUUUUCGAAAAGUUCUGUAGAGCGACACCCGAUGGAUCAAUUCAACAAAAUGCAAACAGAAUACGAAAAGUUUAUCAAAGUGAAUCAGUUUAUCCUCUGCACCUCUGGAAAUGACAACAAACCUUCAGCAAGGACGAUGGUCCUCACGAAGACAAGUAAAGAGCAGACUAGUUUUCACUUCUUUGCAAUGACAACAAGUCGAAAAGCCGAAGAGCUCGAAGAGAACAAUUAUGCAACUGCAAUUUUUCUUUGGACUAUUAAUGGAGUUUUAAACCAGAUUCGUGUAGAAGGCAGGGUUAAUAAGUUAAGCGAGUCUGAAACUUUAAAAGACUAUAGUAAGCUUUCUGAUGACUAUAAAGCGUACUAUCAUAUCACUCAGCAGGGGCAAGCCGUGCAAUCUGUAUCUGAUUUGCAAGAGAAGCAUGAGAAGUUCUUGGGUAUUGUUCACGAAUUACCAUGCCCUUUUCAUGUGCGGUCAUAUGCAUUAGAAGCAGACUCAGUUGAGAUUUUUAAGCCGGAUGGUUUAUUUGGAAACGAGAGAGUUUUAUAUAGGAAGCAAAUUGAAGGAGAAGAUAUUAAUGAACUUAUUACAUCAAAUGGUGAGGGAGAUUGGUUGAUAGAAAAUAUAUGUCCCUAAUUGAAUACAUCUUAAAAAUGUAGUUGUUUUCUUUUGAUUUAAAAGUUUAU
rnacentral:misc_RNA from 1 species